rnacentral:lncRNA from 10 species
CCUGGAGCUUGCUUUGGCCAACAGAGUGUGGCAGAAGUAACAUGGUAGCAUUCAGUAGUUUGGAGCUCAAUGUGCCUUGCAGCUUCUGCUCUGGCCUCUUGGAGUCUUGGGACCGUGUAGUGCAGGGGCCUCUACUAACCUGCUGGAGGGAACGCGGCCAUGUGGAGGAGAACCUCAGCCCGACCACCAGCCCCAAUUGCCAGACAUAAUGCACACUGGAGAAGCUGGCAACAUGGAAAUACCAAUGGAUGCAAACAAAGAAACUCCCAAGAAAAGCGGACUCUCUAUAGCCAGAGGACCAGGGAAGGGGCAGCCAAGCAACACCGAAAACUCUUAGACAGCAGCCACUCUACUGCAGCCAGACUAUAGGAAAAGCUGUGGCCCCACUACCACUCAAGCCAGCAAAGCUGAGUGGAAAGCUUAGAUUUCCCCCAUCAGCAGGCUGCAAUGAGUUGCUCCAAUUCCACCCGCCUCCACACACACACACACUGGGCUGCCUACAGAGCAGGCCAGGUGGGAGGAUAGGACUUGCAGCAACAAACCCCUGACCCCUCGCCCCACCCACAAUGUUGGUUGAGAACACCCAGGGAACCUGGACUUCCACUGCCAUCCAGAGAUGAUGGGGUGCCGCUCCCCUUCCUUACUGGUGUGGUGUCAGAGGAAGGCUAAUGGAGAGCUGGAACUUCCACUCCUGCUCAGCAGUAACAAAAAGCUCCUCCCCUCUGGGUGUCAAUGAAGGUCAAGUCGAGAACCUGGGAUUCCACCCUUAUCUAGCAGUAACAAAGUGACACACCUUGCCACGUGCCGCAGUGGUGUCACAGAAGACCUGCUAAAAUACAAGGGUUAAAUAAGUUCCAGAGUCUCAUAUCAAAAUGUCCAGGUUUCGGUAAAAAAUUACUAAUCAUACUAAGAACCAAGAAAAUCUCGAGUUAAAAAAGACAAUCAACAGACACCGACACUAAGAUGACACAGAUUUAGAAUUAUCUGACAAAGAUUUUAAAACAGCCAGCAUAAAAAUGCUUCAACAAGCAAUUGCAAACGUGCUUGGAAUAAAUUUUUAAAAACAGAAAUUCUCAGCCCAGAAAUAGAAGUUUCAACAAAUAAAUAAAAGAUUCAAAGAAGACCCAAAUGGAAAUUUUAGAGCUGAAAAAUACAAUAAGCAAAAUUUAAAACUCUGUGAAUGGAUUCAAGAACAGAAUGGAAAAGACAGAGAAAAGAAUCAUGAUCUUGUAGUCCCAGCUACUCUGGAGGCUGAAGUGGGAGAAUCAACUGAGCCUGAGAAGUCUAGAUUGCAGUUAGCCAUGAUCAUGUAACUGCACUCCAGCCUAGGUGACGGAGUGAGAACCUAUCUCAAAAAAAAAAAUCAUGAUUUUGAUAAUAGAAACAUAGAAAUUACCCAAAAGAGAGAAAAUAGACUGAAAAAUAAACAGAGCCUAAGGGACCUACGGCACUAUAACAAAAAUAUCGUUAUAUGUCAUCAGAACCCCAGGAGGAGAGGGGAAAGAGAGUGGGGCAGAAAGGGACCAAAGAAAUAAUGACUGAAAAUGUCCCUGAUUUAGCAAAAGACAUAAACCUAGAUUCAAAAAGCUAGCUGAAUGGACCCCAAAUGGGAUAAACUCAGAGUAAUCCAUGGCAAGAAUCAUCAUAGCCAACUUCUGGAAACUAAAGACAAGUAAAAUAUCUUGAAAGCAGCUAGAGAGAAAUGAUGCUUUACCUAUGGAGGUGGGGGCGGAACAAAAAGCAAACAACAAACAAACAAACAAAAGCUGUAUUUGAAUGACAGCAGAUUUUUCCAUCAGAAACCAUGGAGGCCAGAAGGAUGUGGCAAACAUUUUUUCAAGUGCUGAAAGAAAAAAACCAUCAACCUACAAUUCUAUAUCCAGUGAAAUACCUUUUAAGAAUGAAGAGAAGGCCAGACACAGUGGCCCAUGCCUGUAAUCCCAGCACUUUGGGAGGCCAAGGCAGCAGGAUCACUUGAGAUCAGCAGUUCGAGACCAGCCUGGCCAACAUGGUGAAAAUCCAUUUCUACUAAAAAUACAAAAAUUAGCCGCGUGUGGUGAUGCGUGCCUGUGCCUGUGGUCCCAGCUACUCAGGAGGAUGAGGCCGGAGAAUCGCUUGAACCUGGGAGGCAGAGGUUGCAGUGAGCCAAGACUGCACCAUUGCACUCCAGCCUGGAAAACAGAGCAAGACUCUGUCUCAAAAAAAAAAAAAAAAAAGAAGGGAAAAUCAAGAUGUUCUCAGAUAAAGAAACCCAAGAGAAUUUGUCACUUGCAGACAUACUCUAAAAGAAUAGCUAAAGGAAGUUCUCUAAACACAAAGAAAUGAUGAAGAAGAAAUCUUGCAUAUUACACACCUAUUAGAAUAGCUAAUAUUUUAAAAACUGACAAGAACAAAUACUGGUGAGGAUGUGGAGAAACUGGAUCUCUCCUAUAUUGCUGAUGCAAGUGCAAAACGGUACAGCCACUCUGGAAAAUGAUUUUGCAGUUCCUUAAAAACUAAGCAUAUGCUUACCAUGUGACCCAGCAAUUUCAUUCUUGGGUGUUUAUCACAGAAAAAUGAAGGCUAUGUUCCCAUAAAAAUCUGUACAUUAUUGUUCAUAACAGCUUUAUUUAUUUAUUUAUUUAUUUAUUUUUGAUACAGAGUUUCACUCUUGUUGCCCAGGCUGGAGUGCAAUGGCACGACUCAGCUUACUGCAACCUCCACCUCCCGGGUUCAAGCAAUUCUCCUGCCUCAGCCUCCCGAGUAGCUGGGAUUACAGGUGUGCAACACCACACCUAGCUAAUUUUGUAUCUUUAGUAGAUAUGGGGUUUCACCAUGUUGGCCUGGCUAAUCUCAAACUCCUGACCUCAGAUGAUCCACCUGCCUUGGCUUUCCAAAGUGCUGGGAUUACAGGCGUGAGCCACCGUGCCAGGCCCAUAAUAGCUUUAUUUGUAAAAGCCCUAAGCUGGAAACAACCAAAAUGUCCCUCAACAAGUGAAUGAUUAAGCACACUGCAGUACAUCUGUACCAUGGGAUACUACUCAGCAAUAAAAAGGAAUGGACUAUUAAUACACACAACAACUUGGAUAGCUCUGAAGAUCAAUCUCGAAAGGUUACAUGCUAUAUGAUUCCAUGUACGUAUCAUUCUCAAAAUGCCAAAACUAUAGGGAUACAGGAUAGACAUGUAGGACGUUAGUGGUUUCCAGGCGCUAAGGAUGUUGGGGGAUGGGGUGGGGAGGAGUGUUUGAGACUACAAAGUGUAGCACAAGGGAGAUUGUUGUGGUGAUGGACUAGUUCCACAUCGUGAUUGCAUUGGUAGUUACACAAAUGUAACAAAAUGGCAUAGAGCUAUACACCCACAUUGUACCAAUGUCAAUUUUCUGGUUUUGCUAUCGUAAUAUAAUUGUGUAAGAUGUAACCAUUGGGGGAAACUCGGUGAAGUGUACAGGGGGUCUCUUUGUACUAUCUUUGCAACUUCCUAUGAAUCUUUAUUUCAAAAUAAAAAGCUUUUUGAC